GCCGUGGGCUCUACCGGAAAGGGGCGGGACUUCGCCCAAGUUUUCCCGCUUCUUCUCAGUUUGGGGCCGAAUCAACUGAACAAUAGAAUCUCGGAUCUCCAUUUUAGUGCCAUUCAAGUGAAUGUGACGAUUGAUCUGGACUCAAGCUGUAGGCCUACCAGUCAGAUGAGUAACUCAGUGGAGGAGGAGGACUUUGCGGAUAUCAGGGCCUACUUUUCCACAACAAAAUGGAACCGCCUCUGUAUGGCGGAGAAAAAAAGAUUCCUGCAGAUCAAGGAAAACCAUUUGGUUAUGUCGUCUCUUGGCCUGUCCUCUGUGGCUCCAGCCUUCAUGAGGAGAGAGAAGCCCGGCCAGGUGAGAGUCUGCUCACCUGAAGAGACGGACUCUGAGGAGGAGCAGCUCUGGACCUCUGGAUUGACCGAGUCUCUCAGGGCGGGGCUGGAGUGACCAGGAGGUCUCUGGAGGGCCCACUCCUUCUCAUCCAGAGAUCGACCCCCCCGGAGGAGGAGUAGAGAGGGGCUCUGCAGUCCAGGAGG